UACAGAGGUCCCGAGUGUUGUUCGGAUUUAUUGGGCGUAAAGGGUGCGUAGGCGGCGGAGUAAGUUGGGUGUGAAAUCCCGGGGCUUAACCUCGGAAUUGCAUUCAAUACUGCUUCGCUUGAGUACUGGAGAGGAGACUGGAAUUUACGGUGUAGCAGUGAAAUGCGUAGAUAUCGUAAGGAAGACCAGUGGCGAAGGCGAGUCUCUGGACAGUUACUGACGCUGAGGCACGAAGGCCAGGGGAGCAAACGGG
rnacentral:rRNA from 1 species